AAAAGUCGUAACAAGGUUUCCGUAGGUGAACCUGCGGAAGGAUCAUUACGAAAUUCGGCGCGCUUCGGCGCUGCCUUAUUCACCCACCCUUUGUCUACGUGUACCUCUAUAGCUUCCUCGGCGGGCUCGCCCGCCGCCAGGAACCCACAAAACCCCUUGCAUUAUACACGAAAACUUCUGAUAACAAACCUAAAUUAUCACAACUUUCAACAAUGGAUCUCUUGGUUCUGG
rnacentral:misc_RNA from 1 species